rnacentral:rRNA from 1 species
UGGAGAGUGAAGCGGCAAUAGCUCAAAUUUGAAAGCUGGCCUUCUGGUCCGCAUUGUAAUUUGUAGAGGAUGCUUUUAGGCAGCCGCCGGUCUAAGUUCCUUGGAACAGGACGUCAUAGAGGGUGAGAAUCCCGUAUGUGACCGGCUCUGGCACCUUAUGUAAAGCUCCUUCGACGAGUCGAGUUGUUUGGGAAUGCAGCUCUAAAUGGGAGGUAAAUUUCUUCUAAAGCUAAAUACUGGCGAGAGACCGAUAGCGCACAAGUAGAGUGAUCGAAAGAUGAAAAGCACUUUGGAAAGAGAGUUAAAAAGCACGUGAAAUUGUUGAAAGGGAAGCGCUUGCAAUCAGACUUGGACUUGGCUGUUCAACCGGUCUUCUGACCGGCCUACUCAGUCUUGUCCAGGCCAGCAUCAGUUUCGGCGGCCGGAUAAAGGCCCUGGGAAUGUAGCUGUCUCUUCGGGGACAGUGUUAUAGCCCAGGGUGUAAUACGGCCAGCUGGGACUGAGGUCCGCGCUUCGGCUUAGGUGGUGGGCUUUAUGGUUGUAAGCGGCCCGUCUU